rnacentral:lncRNA from 1 species
GCAGAAGUGAUUCAAGCUACUGACCAGAAUUCAGUUUUCAGGCUGUACGUGCCUAUAAAAUGACUUUGUCCUCUUGGAGAGAAGUCUGGAAGGGACCCAAAGGCUUGGCCAAGACUUCUGGGUCUCCACUCCUUUCAGCUUAAGCCUCUGGGAGGCCAAGAAGAAGGUUAGACCCAUUCCUAUUUCAGUGUUUUUGGUCCUUGGAGGGAUCCUGUGUCCUCUCUCAAGGCUCUGGGCAGCACGUGGGACACUAUUGCACAAAACGUAGCACAGUCUUGGUGAAAUAACCUUCCAAGUUAAGAUGUGCUUUGAGGAUUAGGACCACCCAGGAUGAAGAACUGCCUGAGCACGGUGACCCCAUUGUUCAUACGAGGGGUUGAGGAGGCAACAAGUCUACUUCUUGGGAGAAAUGCUGUGAAGACCAUGGAGCAAACUGAAGGCUCACGCUCUCUAUUGACGUGGCAAAGUCAACUCAGAAAAUGACUGUGUCCAGCUUUCGUGGGCUCCAGGCUCCAAGCUCUCAUUCACACCCUUCAGUUCUAUUAAGUCAGAACUGGACCAGGAGAAUUUGGGGAAGAGCAGCUCUGAAUUCGAGACUCGCCACUUGAGAGAUGUGUAUCCUUUCUGAGAUGCAGUUGCCUGAUCUGGAAAAUUGGGAUGAUCAUUUCUGUCACAGAGAGUCGGUGAAAAUCCUAAGGUGGAGAAGAGACUGAAUAUGCCCACUGUGCCCAAGGCAGGGCUAGAGUUGAUUUGGGGUUUACUUGGCUUCAUGGAUUUGAAACCAUAGAUGCUCUUACACAUCUUUCCCGUUUGAUUGGAGUGAAGCAUGCCACUCCUAAAAAGAAACUACUCGUUCUUUCAUUUCCUUCAAAAAAAAAAAAAGAGAGAGAGAGAGAAGAAGAAGAAAUUUAAUUUGGAUUCGGCUAAUACCCUUAUAACAUCUAAAGCUGUCAAGCAAAAAGAAGAGUAGAUAAUUAGAAGAUGAUGGGAGCCAGCACAGAGCCGAGUGGAGGAAAAGACAGGCACAGGAUGAGAAAAUGGAGACUUGGAGGAGUAAUUUGCCCAAGAUCAUGCUGUGGGGCAGGGAUCUGAAUCCAGACAGUCUGACUCCAAAACCCAACUUCGUAACCACCAAAAUGUCUCUCAUUUGUUGGGACAAACCUGGUUAUGGAACCAGGUUCUUUUGCCUGAUGUGCAGCAAACCAAAUGCUGAGAUGCUGAGGUUUACAGAAGAGAAAAGGUUUAUUCACAAGGCACCCAAGCGAGGCGAUGGGAGGACAAGUUUCAGAUCUGCUUCCUUGAAGCCCUCGAAGCCGUGUGUGGAUCAAACACGUUGCGAAGUGACAAGAGCCAGGAGUGCUGAGUUUCGAGGAGGACGUGAGUCCCUGCCAACCGACUUUGGAAUUGCUGUGAGUGAGACACAAGCUUUCACUGUGUGAAACCCUGUGACUUGGGGGUUCAUCUUUUACCACAGCAUUGUCUAGCCUGACCAGAUUCAUUUGCAUAAGAAAAUCUCCACUGCCUUCAGAAUAUAAAGUAUAUUUCUGUAAACGUUGCAGAAAGCUAGUAUCUUGAUAAGAUAUAGAAAUUCUUCCACUCUUUCCUCUUACUGCAGUUCUUUCACUCCUUCUCUACCUUAAUGGGUUGGAGUUUGUCAUCAAGUCAGUCAGUCAACCAGGAUGCAGAUGUGAGUUUCCUUGUGGAAACAGGUGCCAGCAAAUAUUGCGUACCCCACCCGGAAGUACUGUGCCAAGUUAAAUCUAACCGAGGUCUUUUAGGUCGUUUCUGCCCACAUGAACCCAGGGUCGCUGAGUAUUAUUCCUUCAGCCCCAUCCACGCGAAAAGCUUCUUGGGUGAAGACAUGGAAUGCAGUUCAGCCCCAGGAUAUAUUCCUGCAAGGAGGAGUGCCAUGUACGACAGAUCAGAGACGGUAGGUGACAUGAUUUUGCACUCACGCCUAUUCCCUGCCUGCUCCUGUCCCAUCCUGUUCUAAACACCAGCAUCGCCUUGAAAUUCCCUUAAGCAAACUGAGACGCCAUAAGAAUCUCUACUGGUAUUGAUCCCAAUGCUGCAUAGUUUCUCUCCUGAACACUUUUUACCCAUAUUUAUACACAGGUAUGCAUAUCGGUAUGCAUGUAUAUACAUAAAUGCUUCUUAUAAUGAGUUUCUUCAUCAUGAAAGAUGAAUUAAUCACUUCAUUGACCUUACUAUAUAAUUUGCUGCAACGUACAGGAUUUACCAGACAACACCUACCACCUUAUAACAUCAGGACUUGCCCUUUGAGUCUAUAUUAAAUGAAUGCUUUCUUUGCCUUUAAGCAGUCAUAAUAAAUCAUACUGCACAAUUAAAUAGCUAUCACUCUUUAAUUAAGGAGUCAUCUUCUCCACUUCACCUGAUCUUGCCCAGUUUCCAGCAUGACCUGGUGCUUAAAGCUCAAGGAGAAAGUAAUUCAUAUUAUAAAUGUAUAACAGGGAAGUUCCCUUGUGUCGCAGCAGGUUAAGGAUCCACUGUUGCCACAAUAGUGGCGCAGGUGGUUACUGCAGUGCAGUUUUGAUCCCUGGCCCACGAACUUUCAUGUGCCAUGGGUGCAGCCAAAAAUAAAUAAAUAAACGAAAACGUAUAACAGACCAUUCAUGAGCUAAUCCUUGAAGAUAUUUUUCUCCAAUCAAAAGUUAUUUAGGAAUUUCCCUGGAGUUCCCAUCGUGGCAUGGUGGAAAUGAAUCUGACUAGUAUCACUGAAGGUGUAGGUUCGAUCCCUGGCCUCACUCAGUGGGUUAAGGAUCCGGUGUUUCUGUAAGCUGUGGCAUAGGUUGCAGACAUGGCUCGGAUCUGGCAUUGCUAUGGCUGUGGGGGUAGGCUGGCAGCUACAGUUCCAAUUCAACCCCCAGCCUGGGAACCUCCAUAUGCCUUAGGUGCAGCCCUAAAAAAUAAAAAUAAAAAUAAAAAUUAAAAAAAAAA